AUUGAACGCUGGCGGCAGGCCUAACACAUGCAAGUCGAGCGGAUGAAGGGAGCUUGCUCCUGGAUUCAGCGGCGGACGGGUGAGUAAUGCCUAGGAAUCUGCCUGGUAGUGGGGGAUAACGUCCGGAAACGGGCGCUACUACCGCAUACGUCCUGCGGGAGAAAGUGGGGGAUCUUCGGACCUCACGCUAUCAGAUGAGCCUAGGUCGGAUUAGCGAGUUGGUGGGGUAAAGGCCUACCAAGGCGACGAUCCGUAACUGGUCUGUGAGGAUGAUCAGUCACACUGGAACUGUGACACGGUCCUGACUCCUACGGGAGGCAGCAGUGGGGAAUAGUGGACGAUGGGCGAAAUCCUGAUCCAGCCAUGCCGCGUGGGUGAAGAAGGUCUUCGGAUUGGAAAACGCUUUAAGUGUGGAGGAAGGGCAGUAAGUUGAUAGCUGGCUGUUUUGACGUUACCUACAGAAUAAGCACCGGCUAACUUCGUG
rnacentral:rRNA from 1 species